CCUACGGGUGGCAGCCGUGGGGAAUAUUGCGCAAUGGGCGAAAGCCUGACGCAGCGACGCCGCGUGAGGGAUGAAGGUCUUCGGAUCGUAAACCUCUGUCAGCAGGGAAGAACGGUCACUGUGCUAAUCAGCAGUGAAUUGACGGUACCUGCAAAGGAAGCACCGGCUAACUCCGUGCCAGCAGCGGCGGUAAUACGGAGGGUGCGAGCGUUAAUCGUAAUUACUGGGCGUAAAGCGCUCGUAGGCGGUGUGGCAAGUCAAGGGUGAAAUGCCCGCGCUCAACGUGGGGACUGCCGUUGAAACUGGCAAACUUGAGUGUGUGAGAGGAUAGUGGAAUGCGUGGUGUAGGAGUGAAAUGCGUAGAUAUC
rnacentral:rRNA from 1 species